GGGGUCCGUCUGGUUGGUGUCGAAAUCCAAGCCAAUGGCGGUCUGGACUUGGUUGUCCAAGUCAGUCAAAUGGUCAUGACUUUGAGGGGUCAAAAUCAAUGGUCGAGCACCGUCACCCUCGUGGUGAUGGUCCUUUGGCGAUGGGGUUGUUAGGGUUGAUCCGAGGCUGUGAUCAUGGUGGUGGCCAACUGGAGAAAAGAGGUUUUGUGAUUCAGACUGAAUAAGCUGCGUGAAAAUGGAAUGCUCACCAAACAAUUCAAUGCAUAAAAGCGUGCAAAAUCCCAGGACCACAAAGGAAAAUUGGAGCAAACCCGGCACCGACUUUGUCCGCUCUCGUUGUAGCACCUCAAAUACCACAACGUAAAGGAUUGUUCCCGCGGCAAGACCUUAAAUUUGAGAAAUAUACAAUAAUGACUAAUUCAACGCCCGGCACACAUCUGACCGAACUUAAUUGUUCUACUCAAGUUUGGACGCGUAUUUGUUGAGAUGUGGGAAGCUCAAGAAUGUUGGUUUGUAAAGCUUGUUCGAAUACUGCUAAGGUUCCCUUUUUUGUGAACAAAUACCUAAUAUUUUCUCUUUGAUUCAAGCUCGCUCAACCAAUGAAUGUUUCAAUCCUUCCGAUCACCGGAAAAGGCUUCUCAAUCUCUUUUUUCUAAGGAAAGGCCUUUUUCCGACCUUGACACAGAUUAAUUCUAAGUUUUUUACCUUCAAACUACUUUGAAUUAUGCUUGAGAAAAAGUGAUACAAGGUUAUUUAUUGGGUAUUACCAUAAAAACAAAUAUAACUUUGUAAAUAAACAUCACAUUACAAAGCAUGGGCUUAUUAAGUAAGAUGUAUUUUUAUAGCAUUAAUAUUUCACGGUUUCUCAAGGGCUGAUGGAACUGUAGUUUUCUUUUCUCUUAUAUUCUCUCAUACCUUUACCCUGAAUGAACUUUGAAAUGUUUUAGGUGGCUCAAACCAAAAUAUUGUGCUGCUCACAAUUUUUGCUCUUUCAAUCAUCAGAUUUUUGAGACAUUGAAUUAAAUGUAUUGAUUUCCCCCUCGAUAUACUUCAAGGUAGAAAAAAAUAUAUUGGAUAAAGAAAGGUGCUUUGGAGAGCAAGUCGCCUCUGGGAAUCUUUAAACAGGUUAAUGUCAGGAGGUAAGGUAGCUCACAAAGAUAUGAUCUUUCUCUGAAAUAGUUCAAGUAGUUCACAACAUAGAUUUGAAUGUACCAAAACCGGUGUUUGAAAAGCCACAUUUCAAAAACCCACAUCUACUUUGUUCAACGUACAUUUUCAAAUCAAAAAAUUCUUAUCCUCUUCCAAUCUCACCUUGCAAGAUUCCAACCACUAGAGAGUGACCUUCAGGAUCAAAGGCCGAGGCUUCAGCGAUGAGAAUGCCAAUGGCGAUCCCCAAGGGCGAUACCAAGGCAAAGUUCUCACCUAUGAACAGAGUCCAGACGUCUCUGACGGUCUCCUCUAAGCCAACGGCUAAUCCCUCGAAGAUGGCGUGGAAUGACAAGGCCAGAAUAGUAAUGAAGUCCUUGAAGGCGGCCGCCCUCUUUUGGGUGACAGCGGUGGAUGCGGAGGUGUUGACAGGCCCAUCAGGACUAUGGUAAUUGGGAAACAUGGAUUGGGCAGACGUGCUGAGAUUGACCGCAUACUUCGGGUUGAACACCUUGGGGUUGUCUGUGACAAGAAGAUUUGCAGGAGAUCACGAUCUGGGUUGUGGUAACAAAGAUAGCUUUGCGGCCGGAAAUGACUCAUGUUUGGGGCAUAACUUUCUCAAACGAGUGAAUGCAAAGUUCCACAAAGUACAACUAAUCAGACACCUCACCCAAAAGACAAGUCACUUCUGCUGGUACCUGAGGUCUCUUGUUCCAUUGAAGGCGUUUCAGUGGGCGGGAUACCA